ensembl:lncRNA
UUACGAGGCAGCAAAAUGUGGGAUAACUAAAAAGGUAAAGAGAGUUGUCUGCUGCAGCUUGCCUUUUGAAACAACACAAAUGGGAACAACUCAUGCAUGCAAACACGAAGAGGACAGCACAGGGUGGUGGAGUGCCUGCCUCUUCCUAGGGCAGGAUCAUACCUAAGGAAACAGCUUCGGGGUGAGGGCACCGGAUUGACAUCUUGCCUGAAACAACAGGAUUAUCUUGUUCCAUCUCUGCCAUCAGGCAUAAGGAAUGAAAGAUCCUGAGCCCAAAGGACAGCAACUAAUUGCUCCCCAGACAAGAUGGACUGCUUCCUCAUGAGGUGUUGUAAAGGAAAAGCUUCUCUCCAUUCAAAGCUGGACAGGUACAUAGAGAAACAGCAGCAUGGCCAGGGGGUGCAGUGACGUUCGUCCUUGUCAAGCUGGCAGUCUGUUCCCAGGACUACCAAGCAAAAACACAGCUGUAUGAACAGGUUUCAUAGCAUCAUAGUCCAGAAGGAAGCACUGAUUCUCCAGCCUGACCUUUUGCCCACUGUGGGUGACAGAACUAACUCAAGUGAUUUCCGCAUCAUUUCUAGGGGAGCUAGAAUACUUCCUAUGGAAAAAAAUUCACCUUCUCUGUUUAAAGAUUUCACGUGACGAGCAACACUUCACAAGCCUCUUUUAAUCCAGAAAUGUCUCUUAUCUCAGCUUUCAAAAACUGCUUCUUUUAAAAGGUUCAUCUGCUAAACCGAAGAUUACUAUGAUGACAAUUAUUCUCCUUACAGAGCUGAUUUCACAUUCUUUAGCUCUUAUGUGAUUCAGUGAUUGGCUAAAGAGAUAAGGGUUUUAAAGUCUCUUCAGUAAGGGGAGUUUCUAGAUACGUCUGUUUAACCACUUCCCGUUUGCCAGC